UACGUAGGUGGCAAGCGUUGUUCGGAAUUAUUGGGCGUAAAGGGCGCGUAGGCGGCUUGUUAAGUCGGCUGUGAAAGCCCGGGCUCAACCCCGGAGGGUCAGCCGAUACUGGCAGGCUAGAGUACGGAAGAGGUAGCUGGAAUUCCCGGUGUAGCGGUGAAAUGCGUAGAGAUGUGGAGGAACACCAGUGGCGAAGGCGACUCUCUGGUCUGUAACUGACGCUGAGGAGCGAAAGCGUGGGGAGCAAACAGG
rnacentral:rRNA from 1 species